rnacentral:rRNA from 1 species
UACAGAGGUCCCGAGCGUUGUUCGGAUUCACUGGGCGUAAAGGGUGCGUAGGCGGUCGGGUAAGUCUGAUGUGAAAUCUCACAGCUUAACUGUGAAACUGCAUUGGAUACUAUCCGGCUUGAGGAAUGGAGAGGAGACUGGAAUUUACGGUGUAGCGGUGAAAUGCGUAGAUAUCGUAAGGAAGACCAGUGGCGAAGGCGGGUCUCGUGGACAGUUCCUGACGCUGAGGCACGAAGGUCAGGGAGCAAACGGG